rnacentral:lncRNA from 1 species
CAACAACUUGGAUAGGAUAGAAUAACAAUAGAUUUAGUUAGAAUCAAAUUCAAACAAAGCUUUAUCCUUGUCAUAAUUCGAAUUCAAAUCAAAUUUGAAUUCAACUUGAACCAAACUCUUUGCCAUUCAAAUGGGCAUUGAGAAGGGAUGAGAAAAACUAUGGGCAUGAGAAAAAUUCACACAAAAUCUGAGUUUGUGUGAAUACAAAUGGGGCAUGGAGAUGAGGUGGCACAA